GAUUUUUUACUAAUUGAAUAAUCAUCAUAUAGAAUGCAUCAAUGGGUCAGAGCGAAAAUCUAAAUAAUACAAAAAGCGGAUAUCAAACCUUCUAAGCGCGUCCACGUCGGAUUGGAAAUUCAGACCACUCAUAGAGUUUUAAAUUACAAUGCCACACAUAUUUUUAGUCUUCACAGAAAAAGCGAAGUCAUUUGUAUAGGUUUAAAACAAUUCGAGAUAGCCCGUUUCAAGCCCAUCUCUUCUAACCCUAAUCUUCAACGCCAUCGAUGAUCUCUCCGGCUCUCCGGCUCUUCCUCUUCGUCGGAAUCGCUCGCAUCCCUGCCAAUUGCCGUUACCACACAUUCUCUGAAUCAUUCAGUUUGUUUUUUAUUCCUUUAUUUAUGGUUUCGUUUCUCCUCCCUUUGUUUCUUCUCUUAUAUAAAAGCUAUCACCAUGAAAUCCACAAGAAGAUAAAGCUAUUGCCACAAAAUCCACGAAAAGUCUCCCAUGUCCAGGUAUGGGCGUUUAUACCAAUGCUCUUCUUUUUUUAUCUGUAAGAGAUGUUUUACUUAUGUUGAUGACAUGCAAACUUUUUCUGUUUUGCAUUUGCUGGAUAUCAGAGCUUGCAAGGUGAGGAUGAUCUCAAGAAGUCUUUAAUAGAUGAAUUAUCUCCCUUUUGAGAGAUCACUCAUUUUUCUAUUCCAAUAGACUUUCACGGCUUUCUUUUUCCCCAAUUUGUGAUAACUACCUAAAACUUUUUUUUUACAGCUUCAAUUACAUUUCAUUGUGGUGGAGGUUUGUUCAAAGGUUUGGAAGUUCUUCACAAAAAGAGCCAUGAUUGUCAUAUUUUUCUUCGUCUGUACAUAGAUUUGUUCAUGCUUCUUGAUUUGAUUUCAAAAGUGAAACGUCUCUCAUGAAUUCUUUUUUUUUAACUGUAGCUCAUUGUUUCGAGAUUCACAUGAUCAAAAGUAUGAAGAAGGGAAGAAAUGAUCUCUCAUCUGGUGAUAACUUAACUUAUAGAAAGAGGAACUUUUGAAAUGUUUUUCAGUUCAGUCUAUGUUAUAAUUGUUAGCUGUACAGAUUGUUAGUUGCUUCACACUACCACUCCAACGGUUAAGUUAGAACCGACAAGUAAAGAAAAAGCUGGUAAGCUUCAUAUCCAAAAUCUUUUAUGUUUAAGUUGUUCUGUUGCAAUAUAAUAAAAUUAACAAUAGUUCGUAUUUCCACUAUAUAAUUUUGUCUACUUUGAAAGGAAUAUGGUCACCUAAUUUUAAUAUCUUGGAAGACAUAUUACGGGGACUCUAAGCUAUAAAAUAUGUAGUGCUGCAUUACAAGGCGUGCUAUUCUGGACGAGUAUUCUGAACUUGAGCUAACUCAUUUAGACAAGUCCUGUUUUACUGCAACACUUUAUAUUCAGAUUUUGAGAGGUGCAAAAGAAUACGCAUGAACAGAAACAGUGAUAUAACAUUGGGUGGCAGAGGUGAGAAGCUGCAGAGAAAACAGAGCCGAGAGUCACCAUUGGGUGGCCAAGUUAUCUUGAGAAGAAAAGAAGAGAGGCUCAAGAGAGCCAAGUGAAUGAUCAACAAAAUUUGGAGGAACAAAAAUGAAUAGAUACUGACUAGGGAGAUUCUCUUGCAUCUUGCAAGGAGAAUGGUCUUAGUUUUGGUUUACUGAUUUUACUCGCUUAUAAUCCUGAGUCGUGGAACUAUAUGGUUCAUGAAGAAUAUAUUCAAGAGAAUCUUAGCGUUGGUGGUCAUUAUACUCUAUAAGAACAUGCAUGUGAGAAACGAAGUGGAUCAGAUCAAAACCAGAACCGAGGACUGAAAGAAAAGAGGGUGAUGGAAUCUGAGAGGAAAAAAAGUAACUGGACACCUCAAAUAGAACACUCGACUGAUACUUUGGACGCAAUAAACUGAUGUGCAGUGAAAAUUACGUUGAUUAUCUAUUUUUACUAUAAAUAAGGACAUUUAGAAUUUUCGAGG